rnacentral:rRNA from 1 species
CGCUGGCGGCGUGCUUAACACAUGCAAGUCGAACGGAAAGGCCCUGCUUUUGUGGGGUGCUCGAGUGGCGAACGGGUGAGUAACACGUGAGUAACCUGCCCUUGACUUUGGGAUAACUUCAGGAAACUGGGGCUAAUACCGGAUAGGAGCUCCUGCUGCAUGGUGGGGGUUGGAAAGUUUCGGCGGUUGGGGAUGGACUCGCGGCUUAUCAGCUUGUUGGUGGGGUAGUGGCUUACCAAGGCUUUGACGGGUAGCCGGCCUGAGAGGGUGACCGGCCACAUUGGGACUGAGAUACGGCCCAGACUCCUACGGGAGGCAGCAGUGGGGAAUAUUGCACAAUGGGCGGAAGCCUGAUGCAGCAACGCCGCGUGCGGGAUGACGGCCUUCGGGUUGUAAACCGCUUUCGCCUGUGACGAAGCGUGAGUGACGGUAAUGGGUAAAGAAGCACCGGCUAACUACGUGCCAGCAGCCGCGGUGAUACGUAGGGUGCGAGCGUUGUCCGGAUUUAUUGGGCGUAAAGGGCUCGUAGGUGGUUGAUCGCGUCGGAAGUGUAAUCUUGGGGCUUAACCCUGAGCGUGCUUUCGAUACGGGUUGACUUGAGGAAGGUAGGGGAGAAUGGAAUUCCUGGUGGAGCGGUGGAAUGCGCAGAUAUCAGGAGGAACACCAGUGGCGAAGGCGGUUCUCUGGGCCUUUCCUGACGCUGAGGAGCGAAAGCGUGGGGAGCGAACAGGCUUAGAUACCCUGGUAGUCCACGCUGUAAACGGUGGGUACUAGGUGUGGGGUCCAUUCCACGGGUUCCGUGCCGUAGCUAACGCUUUAAGUACCCCGCCUGGGGAGUACGGCCGCAAGGCUAAAACUCAAAGGAAUUGACGGGGCCCCGCACAAGCGGCGGAGCAUGCGGAUUAAUUCGAUGCAACGCGUAGAACCUUACCUGGGUUUGACAUGGAUCGGGAGUGCUCAGAGAUGGGUGUGCCUCUUUUGGGGUCGGUUCACAGGUGGUGCAUGGCUGUCGUCAGCUCGUGUCGUGAGAUGUUGGGUUAAGUCCCGCAACGAGCGCAACCCUUGUUCACUGUUGCCAGCACGUUAUGGUGGGGACUCAGUGGAGACCGCCGGGGUCAACUCGGAGGAAGGUGGGGAUGACGUCAAGUCAUCAUGCCCCUUAUGUCCAGGGCUUCACGCAUGCUACAAUGGCUGGUACAGAGAGUGGCGAGCCUGUGAGGGUGAGCGAAUCUCGGAAAGCCGGUCUCAGUUCGGAUUGGGGUCUGCAACUCGACCUCAUGAAGUCGGAGUCGCUAGUAAUCGCAGAUCAGCAACGCUGCGGUGAAUACGUUCCCGGGGCUUGUACACACCGCCCGUCAGGUCAUGAAAGUUGGUAACACCCGAAGCCGGUGGCCUAACCGUUGUGGGGGAGCCGUCGAAGGUGGGACUGGUGAUUAG